GAUGAAGAACGCAGCGAAAUGCGAUACUUGGUGUUAAUUGCAGAAUCCCGUGAACCAUCGAGUCUUUGAACGCAAGUUGCGCCCGAAGCCAUUAGGCCGAGGGCACGCCUGCCUGGGCGUCACACGUCGUUGCCCCCCCAUCUACUCCUUCGGGAUUGCGGGGGGCGGAUGAUGGCCUCCCGUGCGCCUCGUCGCGCGGUUGGCAUAAAUGCCAAGUCCUCGGCGACGCACGCCACGACAAUCGGUGGUUGCGAAACCUCGGUUGCCCGUCGUGUGCGGUCGUCGCGCAUCGAGGGCUCGAAAAAAUUGCCGGGCUCCGGCUCGGCUUUCAACGCGACCCCAGGUCAGGCGGGGUUACCCGCUGAAUUUAAGCAUAUCAAUAAGCGGAGGA
rnacentral:misc_RNA from 1 species